rnacentral:misc_RNA from 1 species
CAGCCUAGGGGUUUUGGUUUUAUUACCUAUGCCGAUCCUUCAGUUGUUGAUAAGGUUAUUGAAGACACCCACAUCAUCAAUGGGAAACAGGUUGAGAUAAAGCGGACCAUUCCUAAAGGUUCUGGGCAAUCAAAGGAUUUUAAAACCAAGAAGAUAUUUGUUGGUGGAAUUCCAUCAUCAGUUACAGAAGAUGAGCUCAAGAAUUUCUUUUCGAAAUAUGGGAAAGUGGUGGAGCACCAGAUUAUACGAGAUCAUGAAACAAAUCGUUCUCGAGGAUUUGGAUUUAUAAUUUUUGACAGUGAAGAAAUUGUAGAUGAAAUGUUAUCUGAAGGAAAUAUGAUUGAUGUGGCUGGAACUCAGGUGGAGAUCAAGAAAGCUGAACCAAAGAAAGCCUCAAACCCACCACCUGCUCCUGCAUAUGGUAGCAACUCUAGGGGUCGUACUUACAAUGACAGCUUUGGUGGAUUUGGAGGUUCUUAUGGGGUCUUUGAUGGAGGGUUUGGCCCUGGUCCCUAUAGGACUCCUGGGGGUCUGGGUAGUAGAUUUGGUGGUGGUGGUGGAUAUGGCUAUGGUAGUGAUGGCGG